GCGGGAGAAGUAGAUUGAAGCCAGUUGAUUAGGGUGUUUAGCUGUUAACUAAAGUUUCGUGGGGGUGGAGCCCACCAAUCUAG
rnacentral:tRNA from 1 species